UGCCGGUGACAAACCGGAGGAAGGUGGGGAUGACGUCAAAUCAUCAUGCCCCUUAUGAUUUGGGCUACACACGUGCUACAAUGGACAAUACAAAGGGCAGCGAAACCGCGAGGUCAAGCAAAUCCCAUAAAGUUGUUCUCAGUUCGGAUUGUAGUCUGCAACUCGACUACAUGAAGCUGGAAUCGCUAGUAAUCGUAGAUCAGCAUGCUACGGUGAAUACGUUCCCGGGUCUUGUACACACCGCCCGUCACACCACGAGAGUUUGUAACACCCG
rnacentral:rRNA from 1 species